UACGAAGGGGGCUAGCGUUGCUCGGAAUCACUGGGCGUAAGGGGUGCGUAGGCGGGUCUUUUAAGUCAGGGGUGAAAUCCUGGAGCUCAACUCCAGAACUGCCUUUGAUACUGAGGAUCUUGAGUUCGGGAGAGGUGAGUGGAACUGCGAGUGUAGAGGUGAAAUUCGUAGAUAUUCGCAAGAACACCAGUGGCGAAGGCGGCUCACUGGCCCGAUACUGACGCUGAGGCACGAAAGCGUGGG
rnacentral:rRNA from 1 species